rnacentral:rRNA from 1 species
UUAAGAUACUAAGAGCAUACGGUGGAUGCCUUGGCGAUAUCUGCCGACGAAGGACGUGACAAGCUGCGAAAAGCUGCGGAGAGAUGCAAAUAAUCGGCGACCCGCAGACAUCCGAAUGGAGAAAUCCGGCUGUGAUGAUGCACAGCCAUCCAUGCCCAAGAGCAUGAGAAGGGAACCGGGCGAACUGAAACAUCUAAGUAGCCCGAGGAAAAGAAAUCAAACGAGAUACCCCAAGUAGCGGCGAGCGAACAGGGAAGAAGCCCAAACCGGUGAAGGAAACUUUACCGGGGUUGAGGACCAUCAGACCCGCGAAGAACCUUAGCCGAAACUGUUGGGAAACAGUGCCGAAGACAGUGAAAGCCUGGUAGGCGAAAAAGAGAAACGCGGAGAUGGCACCAGAGUACCGCGGGACACGAGAAAUCCCGUGGGAAGCAGGGGGGACCACCCUCCAAGGCAAAACACAGAUAUCGACCGAUAGCGCAUAGUACCAUGAGGGAAAGGUGAAAAGCACCCCGGGAGGGGAAUGAAAGAGAACCUGAAACCGUAUGUUUACAAGCAGUCGGAGACCGCUUAAUAAUAAGGUCGACGGCGUGCCUAUUGAAGAAUGAACCGGCGAGUUACGAAGCCUGGCAAGGUUAAGCAGGAAAUGCGGAGCCGAAGCGAAAGCGAGUCUUAAGAGGGCGCAAGUCAGGAAGCGUAGACCCGAAACCACAGUGAUCUACCCAUGUCCAGGUUGAAACACAGGUAAAAAUGUGUGGAGGACCGAACCUAUAUCCGUUGAAAAGGGUUAGGAUGAGGUGUGGGUAGGGGUGAAAUUCCAAUCGAACGUGGAGAUAGCUGGUUCUCCCCGAAAUAGCUUUAGGGCUAGCCUCAGGGAAAAGAUUGCAGGCGGUAGAGCACUGAUCAGGAGAGGGACCUACCCGGUUACCAAACCCAGUCAAACUCCGAAUGGCUGCAAUCAUACCUGGGAGUCAGACUGCGACUAAUAAGGGCCGCAGUCAAAAGGGAAACAGCCCAGACCAUCAGCUAAGGUCCCCAAUGCCGUGCUAAGUGGCGAAGGAUGUGGCAUUUCAUAAACAACCAGGAUGUUGGCUCAGAAGCAGCCACCAUUUAAAGAGUGCGUAAUAGCUCACUGGUCGAGAGACGCUGCGCCGAAAAUGUCCGGGGCUCAAGCACGGAACCGAAGCUAUGGCAUGAUAGCAAUAUCAUGGGUAGGGGAGCGUUCUUAUAAGGAAGAAGCAUGACCGGAAGGACAUGUGGACGAAUAAGAAGUGAGAAUGCCGGUAUGAGUAUCGAAAAGAAAGGUGAGAAUCCUUUCCACCGAAAGCCCGAGGGUUCCUGAGCAACGAUCGUCGACUCAGGGUAAGUCGGGACCUAAGCCGAGGCGAGAAGCGUAGGCGAUGGACAACAGGUUGAAAUUCCUGUACCGGAUCAAGUCGAUCGAGCGAAGGAGCGACGCAGGAGGGCACAUGAUCGCGCGGCUGGAAGAGCGCGUCCAAGUGCGUAUGUUGCAGCAGAGGAAAACCCCUGCAGCUAAAAGCAGAGACAUGAUGGGGAGUUAAAGGAAACUUUGACGAACUCAUGGAUCCCACACUGCCAAGAAAAACUUCUAGCGAGACAAGAUCCGCCCGUACCGUAAACCGACACAGGUAGGCGGGGAGAGAAUCCUAAGGUGCGCGGGAAAACCCUCGUUAAGGAACUCGGCAAAUUGCAUCCGUAACCUAGGGAGAAGGAUGGCCCCCGGUCAGUGAAGAGCAGAAACGCUCAGAGCUAAAAGGGGCGGCAGAAAAGAGGCCCAAGCAACUGUUUACCAAAAACACAGGUGCCUGCGAAAGCGAAAGCUGAAGUAUAGGUGCUGACGCCUGCCCGGUGCCGGAAGGUUAAGGAGAGAAGUUAGCGAAAGCGAAGCAUCGAACUGAAGCCCCGGUGAACGGCGGCCGUAACUAUAACGGUCCUAAGGUAGCGAAAUUCCUUGUCGGGUAA